rnacentral:rRNA from 1 species
CAGCACCUCAAGUGGUCAGGAUGAUUAUUGGGCCUAAAGCAUCCGUAGCCGGCGCUGUAAGUUUUCGGUUAAAUCUGUACGCUCAACGUACAGGCUGCCGGGAAUACUGCAGCGCUAGGGAGUGGGAGAGGUAGACGGUACUCGGUAGGAAGGGGUAAAAUCCUUUGAUCUAUUGAUGACCACCUGUGGCGAAGGCGGUCUACCAGAACACGUCCGACGGGGAGGGAUGAAAGCUGGGGGAGCAAACCGGAUUAGAUACCCGAGUAGUCC